rnacentral:rRNA from 1 species
UCUACAAGACUCAAGCCUGCCAGUUUCGAAUGCAGUUCCCAGGUUGAGCCCGGGGAUUUCACAUCCGACUUGACAGACCGCCUGCGUGCGCUUUACGCCCAGUAAUUCCGAUUAACGCUUGCACCCUCCGUAUUACCGCGGCUGCUGGCACGGAGUUAGCCGGUGCUUCUUCUGCGGGUAACGUCAAUUGCUGCGGUUAUUAACCACAACACCUUCCUCCCCGCUGAAAGUACUUUACAACCCGAAGGCCUUCUUCAUACACGCGGCAUGGCUGCAUCAGGCUUGCGCCCAUUGUGCAAUAUUCCCCACUGCUGCCUCCCGUAGGAGUCUGGACCGUGUCUCAGUUCCAGUGUGGCUGGUCAUCCUCUCAGACCAGCUAGGGAUCGUCGCCUUGGUGAGCCGUUACCUCACCAACAAGCUAAUCCCAUCUGGGCACAUCUGAUGGCAAGAGGCCCGAAGGUCCCCCUCUUUGGUCUUGCGACGUUAUGCGGUAUUAGCCACCGUUUCCAGUAGUUAUCCCCCUCCAUCAGGCAGUUUCCCAGACAUUACUCACCCGUCCGCCACUCGUCAGCAAAGCAGCAAGCUGCUUCCUGUUACCGUUCGACUUGCAUGUGUUAGGCCUGCCGCCAGCGUUCAAUCUGAGCCAUGAUCAAACUCUUCAAUUUAAAAGUUUGAUGCUCAAUGAAUUAAACUUCGUAAUGAAUUACGUGUUCACUCUUGAGACUUGGUAUUCAUUUUUCGU